GACGAACGCUGGCGGCGUGCCUAAUACAUGCAAGUAGAACGCUGAAGAGAGGAGCUUGCUCUUCUUGGAUGAGUUGCGAACGGGUGAGUAACGCGUAGGUAACCUGCCUUGUAGCGGGGGAUAACUAUUGGAAACGAUAGCUAAUACCGCAUAACAAUGGAUGACCCAUGUCAUUUAUUUGAAAGGGGCAAAUGCUCUACUACAAGAUGGACCUGCGUUGUAUUAGCUAGUAGGUGAGGUAACGGCUCACCUAGGCGACGAUACAUAGCCGACCUGAGAGGGUGAUCGGCCACACUGGGACUGAGACACGGCCCAGACGCCUACGGGAGGCAGCAGUAGGGAAUCUUCGGCAAUGGGGGCAACCCUGACCGAGCAACGCCGCGUGAGUGAAGAAGGUUUUCGGAUCGUAAAGCUCUGUUGUAAGUCAAGAACGAGUGUGAGAGUGGAAAGUUCACGCUGUGACGGUAGCUGACCAGAAAGGGACGGCUAACUACGUG
rnacentral:rRNA from 1 species